AAAUACAUUAAAAAGAAACAAGUAGGUGUUAAUUUACUUACCCUUUGCAAGCUGCUGGAGGAACAUAAAACAUACUCACAUUGCUUAAGGAUUUGCUGAUGUUCUUCACAUCCAACUGCAGCAUAUUUCCAAUAAUUGGCAGAGGUGUGGGGCCCGGUGGAAGUUUUCCUUUUCCAGAACUCUGUUUCCACAGUGAAAGGAGAAG